rnacentral:rRNA from 1 species
AACGAACGCUGGCGGCAGGCCUAACACAUGCAAGUCGAGCGAGGACUUCGGUCCUAGCGGCGGACGGGUGAGUAACGCGUGGGAACGUGCCCUUUGCUUCGGAAUAGCCCUGGGAAACUGGGAGUAAUACCGGAUGAGCCCUUUGGGGGAAAGAUUUAUCGGUGAAGGAUCGGCCCGCGUUGGAUUAGGUAGUUGGUGGGGUAAUGGCCUACCAAGCCGACGAUCCAUAGCUGGUUUGAGAGGAUGAUCAGCCACACUGGGACUGAGACACGGCCCAGACUCCUACGGGAAGCAGCAGUGGGGAAUCUUAGACAAUGGGGGAAACCCUGAUCUAGCCAUGCCGCGUGAGCGAUGAAGGCCUUAGGGUUGUAAAGCUCUUUCAGCUGGGAAGAUAAUGACGGUACCAGCAGAAGAAGCCCCGGCUAACUCCGUG